AAGUCGUAACAAGGUAACCGUAGGUGAACCUGCGGUUGGAUCAUUAAUAAAAUCUUUAUAUUGUUAAGUGUAAUUAAAAGUUUACUUUUUUUUACCUUUUCAAACAUUUUGUGAACUGUUAAUUUUGGUAUGGAUCAAUGGAGUAAUAAAAUUUAUUUUUUAUUAUUUUACCAUACCAUUAUUUUAAACUUUUUAAAAAUUAUUUAUAUAUAAGUCUUUAAAAAAAAUAAAAAUUUUGUUUACGCAAAUUUUUUAAAUUUAUUUAUAAAAUUAUAAAACAACUUUUGACAACGGAUCUCUAGGCUCUCA
rnacentral:misc_RNA from 1 species